AAAAAAAUUACUCGUGCAUACUCGAUAACUCGAGUACACUCGAGUAACACUCAUUUGCAACGCCUACUCGAGUGCAAUACUCGUACUCGAGUAAGCACUCGAGUAAUGCGUUACUCAUGCUCUUAGUCUUUCCUUCUCUAAAAAAAAGAAAAAAAUAGUCUUCCCCUCAACCACAUCCACAAGUAUAUCUUCUUCUAUUCCCCACUUUCUUUUGUCUUUCUCUAUAUAUACGAUUACUAGCUACAAAAAAAUCUAAGGCGGAUUAAGUGAAAUAUACAUGGACAAACUGUGCAAAAAAAUCUUUACGUGUUACAUCAAAUCAUUAUAAGUGAAAUAAGAGCUC
rnacentral:lncRNA from 1 species